AGUGAACGCUGGCGGUAGGCCUAACACAUGCAAGUCGAACGGCAGCACAGUAAGAGCUUGCUCUUACGGGUGGCGAGUGGCGGACGGGUGAGGAAUACAUCGGAAUCUACUUUUUCGUGGGGGAUAACGUAGGGAAACUUACGCUAAUACCGCAUACGACCUACGGGUGAAAGCAGGGGAUCUUCGGACCUUGCGCGAUUGAAUGAGCCGAUGUCGGAUUAGCUAGUUGGCGGGGUAAAGGCCCACCAAGGCGACGACCCGUAGCUGGUCUGAGAGGAUGAUCAGCCACACUGGAACUGAGACACGGUCCAGACUCCUACGGGAGGCAGCAGUGGGGAAUAUUGGACAAUGGGCGUAAGCCUGAUCCAGCCAUACCGCGUGGGUGAAGAAGGCCUUCGGGUUGUAAAGCCCUUUUGUUGGGAAAGAAAAGCAGCAGGUUAAUACCCCGCUGUUCUGACGGUACCCAAAGAAUAAGCACCGGCUAACUUCGUG
rnacentral:rRNA from 1 species